CAGUCGCCGCGGUAAUACGAAGGGGGCUAGCGUUGUUCGGAAUUACUGGGCGUAAAGCGCACGUAGGCGGAUAUUUAAGUCAGGGGUGAAAUCCCGCAGCUCAACUGCGGAACUGCCUUUGAUACUGGGUAUCUUGAGUCCGGAAGAGGUGAGUGGAAUUCCGAGUGUAGAGGUGAAAUUCGUAGAUAUUCGGAGGAACACCAGUGGCGAAGGCGGCUCACUGGUCCGGUACUGACGCUGAGGUGCGAAAGCGUGGGGAGCAAACAGGAUUAGAUACCCGAGUAGUCCCUGUCUCUUAUAC
rnacentral:rRNA from 1 species